rnacentral:piRNA from 1 species
UGAGCAGCAGAAGUGCCUGGAAAAUGUGUGU